rnacentral:lncRNA from 1 species
CCGUGAUAUGCCAGUUUUCAGCAGCGGACCCUAACGGCAUCCCUGAACAGAACCUGGCUUUGGUUUAGCUUGUAAGUUUGGUGCUUGCAUCCAGAAUCUGGUGUGUUGCGUGGCUCUGACAGUGCUAGUAUAUGGGGAACGACACCUGAAACUAGCAGAGGCCCCAUGCCAGAUUUGCUAAAGCAUAUGUCAAGUUAAAAGGUAAUUUUACAUAGAUGCUGUGAGUACAUUGUGAAUCUCAGUCUCAAUUUGUAAUUGCCUUAUGUUUACCUUAAUCUUUACAUACUUCAAUUCAGGAUUAACAUUCCGCUAGGUCUGGCCGACCUUUACAC